rnacentral:rRNA from 1 species
AACGAACGCUGGCGGCAUGCCUAACACAUGCAAGUCGAACGAGACCUUCGGGUCUAGUGGCGCACGGGUGCGUAACGCGUGGGAACCUUCCCUUAGGUUCGGAAUAACUCCCCGAAAGGGGUGCUAAUACCGGAUAAUGUCUUCGGACCAAAGAUUUAUCGCCUUUGGAUGGGCCCGCGUUGGAUUAGCUAGUUGGUAGGGUAAAAGCCUACCAAGGCGACGAUCCAUAGCUGGUCUGAGAGGAUGAUCAGCCACACUGGGACUGAGACACGGCCCAGACUGCUACGGGAGGCAGCAGUGGGGAAUAUUGGGCAAUGGGCGAAAGCCUGAUCCAGCAAUGCCGCGUGAGUGAUGAAGGCCUUAGGGUUGUAAAGCUCUUUUACCCGGGAUGAUAAUGACAGUACCGGGAGAAUAAGCUCCGGCUAACUCCGUG